rnacentral:lncRNA from 1 species
AGAUUGAAAUAGGAACAAUGAUAAAGAUGACCACAAUUUGCCGGACAUGUCGUAGGUGGUACAAAAUUCCUUAUGGCACUGGAUCUCAGGAACUAAAUUGAUGACUACACUGAAGACAAGGGGGACAGG